CAUAUGCAAUUACUAUAAGCUCUAAUUGUGACUAAGGUUUUCAGUGCAGGUGUACUUUAGUUAGUUGCUCUCGGUCAAAGGUGUUUGCGGUUCAGAGCGUUUGUUUGUUCCCCGUGUCGAAACACAUCAGACCUGCAACAUAUGGAAGGAACAAGGCAUCACUCACAAUCCAAAUUUGGGGGAUACAGAGGUUGAUUUUGAAGCACGCUGGAAAAGAUAAAGGAAGAAUUUUUCUACUAUGAAAUUACUGUAAUACGGAGCAGCUUUCACCUUCAUAUUAAAGCACACAUGGUUCCGUUUCGCUUUUGAGCAUCCAUCAGCCAUCUAACGAUCAUUGAAAAAGAAACACAUUUGCGAUGUUGAUUUGGGAAACAUUUUCCACCAGCCAUAGAAGUGAUAACAGCAUGCUAUUGAAUGCAAGACGUCAUUGAAGGGAAGUACAAGGAGCCAUUGUAUUACGUUCAUUAGCGCCACGAUACAAAUGAGACGAAAAACUUACUUUGAUACAAAUGCGCUAUAUAAAAUUAAUUAUAUAAAAUUAUUAUUUUUUGUUUGGUUUUGUUUUUUGUUUUUGAUACGCUUGUGUAUGUAUAAAAAGAGGAAAACAUCUCCUUGCCGAACAGGAGCCUAUAUUUUGGCCCCAGCUAUAGCUGUGAUUAAUAUUCCUCAGGUUCACACCAAAAAGCAAACCUGCAUCAGCCACUAGAGUAAAACAAUGCAAUGAAUAGAAAAAGAAGGAAUAAUUGAAUUGAAAUACAAUCAUGGAAUAAUGACGUUCUUUAAAAAAAAACGGGAAUUAAAACACUUCAGGAUCAAUCCUGCUAAAACCAACUGUAUCAUGUUCUAAUAACAUCUAAAGUUUAAGGAAAUUAGACGAGCUGAAUAUCUUUAAUAUACCAUUUGAGUUCAUAAAUUGUGAAAUCAAGGUAUAUGUACUAUGAUGCAAUAGCAAAUAGAUAUACAUUAUCAGACAAACCAAGGUUAAUAGAUAUAUAGAAAAAAGACGCAGUUAUCUAUUAGAUAGUUGAUUGUAUAGAUAAAAAGAAGAUUAAACGUCAAGUUUUAAGUUACAAAAUUGUUUGUGUUGUUCAGGCAGGUUUUGCCCGCCUUGUCACCUGCUGUCACUUAAGUGAUGACGACUGCCUUUUGAAGACAAGGUCCAUUAUGGCCUUCGACCAGCGCUGGCCACAAGUAAGUCUUGAUGGAAUUAUCAUUGGGGUCGGAAGUGUGGAAGCGGAUGUGAUAGUCGGCAUUGAAACUUCUGGCCUCGUAGUCGAGCACGUAUGGAGGUGACUAUUAAUUCCAGGAAACAAACAAAAUUGAUUGAAAACAUUUGCGGCUUAAGUAAAUAUCUCAAUAUCCUACCUGAUUGACAAGAGACCAAGCCAAUCGCACCGAGUCCUUGAUGUAUUUCACCAGCGGGUCACAUGAACGAAGGCAAGGAUAAUCGUACAACGUAGCCCAAAUCUGAUUGCAAACAUCCUGGAAAUCAAAUUGAGAUCAUUAAUAUCUUAUGGCAAGGUCAUAAAAAAAAAUUUCUUUCAUGGCCUUUGAACAAACCUCUGUGUUUUUAGUUAAAUCGAACGUUGCUACCGACUCUCUAAGAUAGUGAGCAACAGCUUGUUCCACCUCGUAGCCAGCAUUACGUUCCUUACGCAACGGUUUGGCCGGUUUAGCGGGUUUGGCGGGGGGCGUGAUUUGGCGCUUAGUGUUGGACGGAGCAGCCAAUGCGGAUGGCGGUGGCGGAGGAGGAGGUGGCAGAUAUACUGCGUUGUUAUUGUUCACGGGCUGAUGCAUCGAGCCAGGUGGAAUCUGUAAGAUUCUCUUGAUAUGAUCCUUCAUUUGGGUAGAAGUCGCUUGCAAUGAGCGGAAGGCCAACUAAUCAAACCCAAACGUAAUUUCGAUUUAGAGAUAACAUAAAAUGUAAAACCAAUUAACACGCUUUUUUUUUUACCACAAUGACGGAGAAAAGCAGCUUGGAUUUCAGUUCAUCAGCACCACGAAGCUCUUCCAGUUUGUCGAGGUAGUCGAGCGUUUCGACGCGCGACUGCGUGUACAACCCGCCGUAGUUUUGAAUCAAAUCGGAUCGCUGUUCGGACGAAAUCGAUUCAAAUUUGCUAGGUCCCACACCUCGUUCGACCAUCUUCUGAGCUUGAAGAGCCAUCCUGCUUCCGUGAUUAUCGACAAUACGGGUUUAAAUGAUCGAUUGAACAUGAAUAAUUUUCAGUUUCAUUAUUACCUGGCUUUCAUUUUCUUCUCGCGUUCCUGCAAUGCGCAUAUCGUGGCAUUGGCUUUAUUCAUUUCAGCUUUAAUGGAUUCCAAUUCGGCCUGGAGUGCUGGAUCAACGCCGUGACUGCCGACAAUCGUAUUAUUCAAAUUUUGAACUUGGCAUCGCUGACACGGAGGAGUGUUAUUGGCUAGACGGCCGGCGUCAUUGGCGAGAGCCUGUCGGGAGUCAGGCGAUCCGGUUCCAGAAGAGAUGCCACUAGAACGGUAGUCACUCUCACGUUCGCUGCUGGGCGAAUUGGAGCCCGUCGACGAUGACAUUGAAGCAUUUUUGGCCUUAGCCAACAACAUUCGUCGGCCGUUUCUAGAUUGGCCUUGGCCCUGACCGCUCUGCUCUUUGAUCUCACCUGCCUCGAGUCCCAGCGAAUUGACGAGCAAUGACGCCCGGAUGCUCGCACGGCUUCCCAGCCGAACUAUGAAAACGAAAGAAAGAAAAACAUCACAUCAAUUAUCUAUCAUACAUGGAAAAAACAAAAAUGGGCUUCACUUAUUUCAUAAUUUUAUGCGACCGAAAAUAGUUUUUUCUCAGGACCCCAACAAAGACAGACAACGAGGUAUGCUCUUUCCCAAAGUUAUGCAUGCUUUACCAUUAACAUGCAAAAGUUACUACGGUAAACAGCUAUUAGCAAUCCGAGAACAAGGCAGCGAAACAACAUGAUGGAAUGGGAACCACUGUUUUUGGAUACACACAUGUGUAGCAGUUACAUUAAGGAUUCGACCUUUUGUUACUCUUCGAUCCGGAUGUACCAUGUUACGCCAAAUAAUUGCAGUUAGUUAAAGUUUUUUUUUUUCUUUUUCUGAACAGUUGUGUCAAUAAUCUCGUAACGGCUCUAGUUCGAUAUUUCGUAGAAAACAAAAAAUGGAAAGAGUAUUUAACUCAAGCUUACAAGCCAUUAAGUAAACAGAAGGACAUGGAGCGGACUCCAGUUUUAAGAUUUCACAAGAGAAAAAGAAAUAUAAAAGAACAAAUUCCAGAAUAAGAAAGGGUGAUGGCCGCGAGGGUCGUUCGGUCGAAGGCAAAUAGCCUCGUCACUAGGUCAGUUAGAAAGAGCUAAAGCUAAAAAGUCGGGAGUAACAUUCUAGUAGGUCAUCCUUUCCAGUCGUUUUUUUUUCUUCUUUUCAUUGAAAGAAUUUUUAUUUGUGUUGGACUAUUUAUGUAGACGUCUUCAAGUCUACAUACGUUUCUUUCUAUCCUGCAUGUCAGCACGAUCGCAAUCGAACCGUAAAAAAAGGCUGAAAAAGGGAAUUAGGCGACGUUAGACUUGUCACGCAGCAGCAAUGGGAUGAUGUAAAAAUUUGAAUUCCGCUAGCGGAAUUCAUUGUACGCUGCAUUUGGCCAUACGCGUCGUUGCUAGUUAUCUUGACUCUGUUUAUUGUAUUAGAUAACACUCCAUUAUCUCGCUGACCAAUGUCAAAGAAAGAACAUGAGGUGCUCACGUGAAUGGAUUUAAAUUCAGCCCGACUGAACCGCCCCUCUGUUUCUGCUUUAAUGCCCACAUUUCAUUUUUGCUGAGCACAUUUUUAUGUUUGAGAAAUAACCACGUAAAAUAUGGCACAUACGUUGUUGCGAAAGGGAAAAAAAAAGGUGUUUGAAAAUAAAAUAUGGCGAUUAAACGAUUUUGAACGUCGAUGAAAUUCGGGUCCCGUCAUGAAUACGAAGGACGUGCGCCCAUGUAAUAGCUUUACACAGUGAACAAAGAAAAAGAAAAUCAUUGCGAGGAAUCGACUGUAAAUUCUCAAUAGCAUUUUUUUGAUGUGUUCUUCCUGUCUGCGGAAGACCGCAAAAUUGUUCCCAGUUUUUUUUUUUCCCCGCCGUUUGUUUUGUUAUUUUCUUUUUUGUCGCUUGAACAUUCCAUUUACAAUCUUUUGAAAAUACGACCUAAAUUACCUCUGGCCACACUAUUAUUUGUGUAUCGUUGUCAUUUCUCCUUUUAAAAUUUCACCCAAAAAGGGAAAUAGAACAACACCCAAUCACGA